rfam:Medicago truncatula strain A17 chromosome 7, whole genome shotgun sequence.
GUGUUCGUGAAAAGGAGAGAUGAUUGGCAUCUCCCCUGACAGGGUUAUGGGAACUGCUUUCGAGCAUUCCUGUUACACACACCCCGGUUAAGGCUAUCCACCUCCUCGAGGUUGGAUCUAAAACCAUAUGGUUGU